rnacentral:rRNA from 1 species
GACGAACGCUGGCGGCGUGCCUAAUACAUGCAAGUCGAGCGGAGCGGCGGACGGGUGAGUAAUGCCUAGGAAUCUGCCUGGUAGUGGGGGAUAACGUCCGGAAACGGGCGCUAAUACCGCAUACUCUCAGAUGAGCCUAGGUCGGAUUAGCUAGUUGGUGGGGUAAAGGCCUACCAAGGCGACGAUGCGUAACUGGUCUGAGAGGAUGAUCAGUCACAGUGGAACUGAGAGACGGUCCAGAAUCCUACGGGAGGAAGCAGUGGGGAAUAUUGGACAAUGGGCGAAAGCAUGAUCCAGCCAUGCCGCGUGUGUGAAGAAGGUCGUCGGAUUGUAAAGCACUUUAAGUUGGGAGGCGUUACCACCAGAAUAAGCACCGGCUACCUUCCUGCCAGCAGCCGCGGUAAUUC